AGCAGGCAAGCGCGGGACGUCCCAUGGAAUGGCUUAGCGUGGGCCGCUGAGUCACGUGAUUUAAUGCAAAACUGGAGGGGUGCAUUUUGGUGCGAAAAGGAUCCAUCUUUUGUCGGGCUACCUGUAAUAAAUACCCACCUAAGAAGGGAGUGAAUGCUCGUGGUACAAAGCAUCUGGAAACACAGAGGUUGUAUACAUCCGUAUUCCUCGGAGGAGCUGCACACAUGGCUUAAAACAAAGACAUUUUUAUACUUUUCUUAAAGAAAGCCAGAUGGGUCCAGAUGGAGGUGGAGGAGGACAUG